rnacentral:rRNA from 1 species
AUGCACAUACUGUGAGCUCGAUGAGUAGGGCGGGACACGUGGUAUCCUGUCUGAAUAUGGGGGGACCAUCCUCCAAGGCUAAAUACUCCUGACUGACCGAUAGUGAACCAGUACCGUGAGGGAAAGGCGAAAAGAACCCCGGCGAGGGGAGUGAAAAAGAACCUGAAACCGUGUACGUACAAGCAGUGGGAGCACGCUUAGGCGUGUGACUGCGUACCUUUUGUAUAAUGGGUCAGCGACUUAUAUUCUGUAGCAAGGUUAACCGAAUAGGGGAGCCGAAGGGAAACCGAGUCUUAACUGGGCGUUAAGUUGCAGGGUAUAGACCCGAAACCCGGUGAUCUAGCCAUGGGCAGGUUGAAGGUUGGGUAACACUAACUGGAGGACCGAACCGACUAAUGUUGAAAAAUUAGCGGAUGACUUGUGGCUGGGGGUGAAAGGCCAAUCAAACCGGGAGAUAGCUGGUUCUCCCCGAAAGCUAUUUAGGUAGCGCCUCGUGAAUUCAUCUCCGGGGGUAGAGCACUGUUUCGGCAAGGGGGUCAUCCCGACUUACCAACCCGAUGCAAACUGCGAAUACCGGAGAAUGUUAUCACGGGAGACACACGGCGGGUGCUAACGUCCGUCGUGAAGAGGGAAACAACCCAGACCGCCAGCUAAGGUCCCAAAGUCAUGGUUAAGUGGGAAACGAUGUGGGAAGGCCCAGACAGCCAGGAUGUUGGCUUAGAAGCAGCCAUCAUUUAAAGAAAGCGUAAUAGCUCACUGGUCGAGUCGGCCUGCGCGGAAGAUGUAACGGGGCUAAACCAUGCACCGAAGCUGCGGCAGCGACGCUGAUGCGUUGUUGGGUAGGGGAGCGUUCUGUAAGCCUGUGAAGGUGUGCUGUGAGGCAUGCUGGAGGUAUCAGAAGUGCGAAUGCUGACAUAAGUAACGAUAAAGCGGGUGAAAAGCCCGCUCGCCGGAAGACCAAGGGUUCCUGUCCAACGUUAAUCGGGGCAGGGUGAGUCGACCCCUAAGGCGAGGCCGAAAGGCGUAGUCGAUGGGAAACAGGUUAAUAUUCCUGUACUUGGUGUUACUGCGAAGGGGGGACGGAGAAGGCUAUGUUGGCCGGGCGACGGUUGUCCCGGUUUAAGCGUGUAGGCUGGUUUUCCAGGCAAAUCCGGAAAAUCAAGGCUGAGGCGUGAUGACGAGGCACUACGGUGCUGAAGCAACAAAUGCCCUGCUUCCAGGAAAAGCCUCUAAGCAUCAGGUAACAUCAAAUCGUACCCCAAACCGACACAGGUGGUCAGGUAGAGAAUACCAAGGCGCUUGAGAGAACUCGGGUGAAGGAACUAGGCAAAAUGGUGCCGUAACUUCGGGAGAAGGCACGCUGAUAUGUAGGUGAAGCGACUUGCUCGUGGAGCUGAAAUCAGUCGAAGAUACCAGCUGGCUGCAACUGUUUAUUAAAAACACAGCACUGUGCAAACACGAAAGUGGACGUAUACGGUGUGACGCCUGCCCGGUGCCGGAAGGUUAAUUGAUGGGGUCAGCGCAAGCGAAGCUCUUGAUCGAAGCCCCGGUAAACGGCGGCCGUAACUAUAACGGUCCUAAGGUAGCGAAAUUCCUUGUCGGGUAAGUUCCGACCUGCACGAAUGGCGUAAUGAUGGCCAGGCUGUCUCCACCCGAGACUCAGUGAAAUUGAACUCGCUGUGAAGAUGCAGUGUACCCGCGGCAAGACGGAAAGACCCCGUGAACCUUUACUAUAGCUUGACACUGAACAUUGAGCCUUGAUGUGUAGGAUAGGUGGGAGGCUUUGAAGUGUGGACGCCAGUCUGCAUGGAGCCGGCCUUGAAAUACCACCCUUUAAUGUUUGAUGUUCUAACGUUGACCCGUGAUCCGGGUUGCGGACAGUGUCUGGUGGGUAGUUUGACUGGGGCGGUCUCCUCCUAAAGAGUAACGGAGGAGCACGAAGGUUGGCUAAUCCUGGUCGGACAUCAGGAGGUUAGUGCAAUGGCAUAAGCCAGCUUGACUGCGAGCGUGACGGCGCGAGCAGGUGCGAAAGCAGGUCAUAGUGAUCCGGUGGUUCUGAAUGGAAGGGCCAUCGCUCAACGGAUAAAAGGUACUCCGGGGAUAACAGGCUGAUACCGCCCAAGAGUUCAUAUCGACGGCGGUGUUUGGCACCUCGAUGUCGGCUCAUCACAUCCUGGGGCUGAAGUAGGUCCCAAGGGUAUGGCUGUUCGCCAUUUAAAGUGGUACGCGAGCUGGGUUUAGAACGUCGUGAGACAGUUCGGUCCCUA